rnacentral:rRNA from 1 species
UGAGACACGUACAAACCUUAUCGAUAAACAAUUGGAGGGCAAGUCUGGUGCCAGCAGCCGCGGUAAUUCCAGCUCCAAUAGCGUAUAUUAACGUUGUUGCAGUUAAAAAGCUCGUAGUUGAAAUGAAGGGUAGUUGUGUAAUGAAUACAUUCGUGUAUUUUGUUAUUCAACUACCCUCCUUCUAAAUUCGAUAUAUGAGUAUUAAUUUACUUGUAUAUGGUUUUAGACGUUUACUGUGAGAAAAUUAGAGUGUUCAAAGCAGGCAUUUGCUUGAAUAUAUUAGCAUGGAAUAAUCAUGUAUGAUUUUCAUGAUGUAUUUGAUUGGUUUGGUUCAUGAGAAUAAGAUUAAAAGGGACAGUUGGGGGUAUUCAUAUUCAAUAGUCAGAGGUGAAAUUCUCGGAUUUAUGGAAGAUGAACAAGUG